rnacentral:rRNA from 1 species
UACGUAGGGGGCAAGCGUUGUCCGGAUUUAUUGGGCGGAAAGAGCGUGUAGGCGGCUUUGCAAGUCCGUUGUGAAAACUCGAGGCUCAACCUCGAGACGCCGGUGGAAACUGCAAAGCUAGAGUCCGGAAGAGGAGAGUGGAAUUCCUGGUGUAGCGGUGAAAUGCGCAGAUAUCAGGAAGAACACCUAUGGCGAAGGCAGCUCUCUGGGACGGUACUGACGCUGAGACGCGAAAGCGUGGGGAGCGAACAGG